rnacentral:rRNA from 1 species
UACGUAGGGGGCAAGCGUUGUCCGGAUUUAUUGGGCGUAAAGAGCGUGUAGGCGGCUUGGCAAGUCCGCUGUGAAAACUUGAGGCUUAACCUCGAGACGUCGGUGGAAACUGCCUGGCUAGAGUCCGGAAGAGGAGAGUGGAGUUCCUGGUGUAGCGGUGAAAUGCGCAGAUAUCAGGAAGAACACCCGUGGCUAAGGCGGCUCUCUAGUACGGUACUGACGCUGAGACGCGAAAGCGUGGGGAGCGAACAGG